CAGCCGCCGCGGUAAUACAGAUGGUGCGAGCGUUAAUCGGAUUUACUGGGCGUAAAGCGUGCGUAGGCGGCUUCUUAAGUCGGAUGUGAAAUCCCUGAGCUUAACUUAGGAAUUGCAUUCGAUACUGGGAAGCUAGAGUAUGGGAGAGGAUGGUAGAAUUCCAGGUGUAGCGGUGAAAUGCGUAGAGAUCUGGAGGAAUACCGAUGGCGAAGGCAGCCAUCUGGCCUAAUACUGACGCUGAGGUACGAAAGCAUGGGGAGCAAACAGGAUUAGAUACCCCGGUAGUCCCUGUCUCUUAUAC
rnacentral:rRNA from 1 species